AGCAUUGCCUUCCCCGGGGAGGGGCCAAGGCCUCUUGUUGGAGGGGCGGGGAGAAAGCCCAGUCAUCCCAACAGGGGUCAGGAACAGUCUUCGGGACUGGAGUUGCUCCGUGUUGGAGAGGAGCCUCCUGAACAAGGGUUGGGAACAGUAAUCUUCUCACUGCAUGCCCUUGACGACGGUGGUACCUGCGCUCUCCCCCGAGCCUGACCACCCAGACUGACCAUCCUCAUCUUUGAGCCAAUCCCUGUGUUGAGCCUAUGCCUUCAGUUUGGGUACCGUGCAUGACGUCCUGGGGACAUCACCAAGCCCCAGAUCUGGGAUGCAGCCCCUCAACCCAGCCUGCACUCGCUGUGUCUGCCACGAACACCGACGGCCCCAAAGGCCCCAUCACACGGCUUCACCCCAGGAGGGCCCCCUGGCUGAGCUCUGCUGGGGGUCCAGACUGGAGGUACAAGCCUGGGACCUGUGGGAGGCGUCAGCUUGAACAGAAGCUCUCCUACAGAGCUCACAUGGUACAGAGCCCCCCGGAUACCUUGGAGGGCCAGGCCAGGCCCAGGGAACCCCACCCAGCCCGCAGACCCCAUGGAGGAAGAAGCCGGUCUCUGCGUGUAUAGACAGCUUUAAUCUUCAGCGAGACUGUCCUGGCCUUGCCCUUCAGCAUCCAGGCCACCACGGCACUGCCUGAAGAGUCUUUCUCAAGGGGAAGGCAACAGGGUCACUGUGCAUGUCGACGUCUGGGUGUCUGUGUGAAGCCUCUCCCAGCAGUCCCCGUUUACAGUUACGGGACCGCUGAGUGAUGGACAGAGACAGACCCACAUCUGUGUCACCGGGGCAGGGCUGGGCACGGAAAGCAGAGUUCCAGUAUUUAUUAUCAUACAUAUAUAUAUUUUAUGUGUAUACACAGAUAGUUUUUCUCUCUUGGAAGUAUUAAAAAAUUGAUCAACCUUCAAUCUAUAAAAAAUACCUACUCUACAUGAUAGAAAAAUCUCUCCUCCAAGUUUACACUGAUUUACACCCAAGGCUUUCCCCAAAAUGUACAAUACGAGGCAACGUCUUAAAUCUUAGUGUAGAAGGUGGGCCACAUGGAGGACGGGGGGACGCAGGGCAACACACACACACGCGCACGCAGACGCACGCACACACACACAUGCCCUCUCACGCACACGUGCACACAGCAGUGGCCCGUCUGUGUGCAGGCCCAGCGGCCCCCAUGGUGAUGCGGUGCCUGGCAGUGGGGGCACAGAGCCAGGCAAUGAUUUCCUUAACGGAGCCCCCAGGCUGCUGGGAGGGCCCUAUUCUCCGUUCUUGAUCAUGUACUGGGAGAACCAGCAGAGCUUGGCCGCCUGCAAAACCCAGCUUGGGGAAGGACGGCCACUUCGACUUCCAAA